rnacentral:lncRNA from 1 species
UUUUAAGAAAUGUCAUGGUGGGGAGUGUUAGAUUUGAAAUGUAAUUCCAAAUUGUUGGGUUACUUCAUUUAUUAUUACUGAAGUUAUUUAUUUUAUUUGUAUUACUUGUAGAUACGAUUUUUGGGUAUUUGCGCAUACAUGUAACGUUGCGCUCUUAUGAAUUGUUAUAUUUCCCGUUUUUAAAGUUUUAUGACGUUUAGCCUUUUACGUACGUUACGUUGUCUAGUUUUUAUUCAUUGCAAGUUAUUUGAUAUUCGGAGACACAUCAUAAUUUUAUAGAGAGAUCAUAAUCG